AACCGCGAACGGCUCAUUACAACAACUACGAUCCACUUGAUCUUGACGCUCCUAGUUGGAUAACUGAGGUAAUUCUUGAGCUAAUACAUGAACCACACCCCCGCCAGGGGGGCAUUUAUUUGAACAAAGCCAUUGUCGCCUCGGCGGCAUCCCGUUGACUCAGAAUAACUCGGCUGAUCGCAUGGCUGCGGCCGGCGACGUGUCUUUCGAGCAUUUGCCUUAUCAACUUGUCGGUAGCGUAACUGGCUACCGUGGUGCUAACGGGUAACGGAGGAUCAGGGUUCGACUCCGGAGAAGGGGCCUGAGAAAUGGCCACUACGUCUAAGGAUGGCAGCAGGCGCGCAAAUUAUCCACUCUCGGCACGAGGAGAUAGUGACGGGAAAUAUCGAGACCUGCCCCUUUGGGGCUGGUCAUCGGAAUGGGUACAACCUAAACCCUUUAACGAGUAUCUAUGAGAGGGCAAGUCUGGUGCCAGCAGCCGCGGUAAUUCCAGCUCUCAAACUGAAUAGGACCAUUGCUGCGGUUAAAAAGCUCGUAGUUGGAUCUGUGCGCGGGACCCGGUCCACACCCCGUGUGCAACUGGGACGCCCCGUGCUUAUGGUCGGUUGCCCCUGUUUCGGCUUCAGUGCUGGGACUCGGGCGGCUGACGCGUUUACUUUGAACAAAUCAGAGUGCUCAAGACAGGCGCAUGCCUGAAUGCUGGCGCAUGGAAUAAUGGAAGAGGAUCUCGGUCCGCUUUCGUUGGUUUUACGGCCGAGAUAAUGGUUAAUAGAGACAGACGGGGGCAUCUGUAUUUCUGCGUGAGAGGUGAAAUUUUUGGACCGCAGAAGGACAAACGACAGCGAAAGCAUUUGCCAAGCAUGUCUUCAUUAAUCAAGAACGAAAGUCAGAGGAUCGAAGGCGAUUAGAUACCGCCCUAGUUCUGACCGUAAACGAUGCCAACUAGCGAUCCGUCGGUGGAUGUUCUCGUCCUCGAUGGGGAGCUUCCCGGAAACGAAAGUCUUCCGGUUCCGGGGGAAGUAUGGUUGCAAAGCUGAAACUUAAAGGAAUUGACGGAAGGGCACCACCAGGAGUGGAGCCUGCGGCUUAAUUUGACUCAACACGGGAAACCUCACCCGGGCAGGACACCGCAGGGAUUGACAAGCUGAAGCCUUUUCAUGAUUCGGUGGAUGGUGGUGCAUGGCCGUUCUUAGUUCGUGGAGUGAUCUGUCUGGUUUAUUCCGUUAACGAGCGAGACUCUAGUCUGCUAACUAGUUCGGGUGCUAUCGCAGCGCUCGCAACUUCUUAGAGGGAUGUCCGGCUUCCAGCCGGAAGAAACGGAGCAAUAACAGGUCUGUGAUGCCCUUAGAUGUCCGGGGCUGCACGCGCGCUACACUGGCGGAAUCAGCGUGCCCAUCCUGCGCCGAGAGGCGUGGGUAAUCCGUGGAAAAUCCGCCGUGAUUGGGAUCGGAGAUUGCAAUUA
rnacentral:rRNA from 2 species